GGGUUGUGAGGUUAAGCGACUAAGCGUACACGGUGGAUGCCCUGGCAGUCAGAGGCGAUGAAGGACGUGCUAAUCUGCGAAAAGCGUCGGUAAGGUGAUAUGAACCGUUAUAACCGGCGAUGUCCGAAUGGGGAAACCCAGUGCAAUUCGUUGCACUAUCGUUAACUGAAUACAUAGGUUAACGAGGCGAACCGGGGGAACUGAAACAUCUAAGUACCCCGAGGAAAAGAAAUCAACCGAGAUUCCCCCAGUAGCGGCGAGCGAACGGGGAGCAGCCCAGAGUCUGAAUCAGCUUGUGUGUUAGUGGAACGGUCUGGAAAGUCCGACGGUACAGGGUGAUAGUCCCGUACACCAAAAUGCACAGGCUGUGAACUCGAAGAGUAGGGCGGGACACGUGGUAUCCUGUCUGAAUAUGGGGGACCAUCCUCCAAGGCUAAAUACUCCUGACUGACCGAUAGUGAACCAGUACCGUGAGGGAAAGGCGAAAAGAACCCCGGCGAGGGGAGUGAAAAAGAACCUGAAACCGUGUACGUACAAGCAGUGGGAGCACCUUCGGGUGUGACUGCGUACCUUUUGUAUAAUGGGUCAGCGACUUAUAUUCUGUAGCAAGGUUAACCGUAUAGGGGAGCCGCAGGGAAACCGAGUCUUAACUGGGCGUUAAGUUGCAGGGUAUAGACCCGAAACCCGGUGAUCUAGCCAUGGGCAGGUUGAAGGUUGGGUAACACUAACUGGAGGACCGAACCGACUAAUGUUGAAAAAUUAGCGGAUGACUUGUGGCUGGGGGUGAAAGGCCAAUCAAACCGGGAGAUAGCUGGUUCUCCCCGAAAGCUAUUUAGGUAGCGCCUCGUGAACUCAUCUUCGGGGGUAGAGCACUGUUUCGGCUAGGGGGUCAUCCCGACUUACCAACCCGAUGCAAACUACGAAUACCGAAGAAUGUUAUCACGGGAGACACACGGCGGGUGCUAACGUCCGUCGUGAAGAGGGAAACAACCCAGACCGCCAGCUAAGGUCCCAAAGUCAUGGUUAAGUGGGAAACGAUGUGGGAAGGCACAGACAGCCAGGAUGUUGGCUUAGAAGCAGCCAUCAUUUAAAGAAAGCGUAAUAGCUCACUGGUCGAGUCGGCCUGCGCGGAAGAUGUAACGGGGCUAAACCAUGCACCGAAGCUGCGGCAGCGACACUAUGUGUUGUUGGGUAGGGGAGCGUUCUGUAAGCCUGCGAAGGUGUGCUGUGAGGCAUGCUGGAGGUAUCAGAAGUGCGAAUGCUGACAUAAGUAACGAUAAAGCGGGUGAAAAGCCCGCUCGCCGGAAGACCAAGGGUUCCUGUCCAACGUUAAUCGGGGCAGGGUGAGUCGACCCCUAAGGCGAGGCCGAAAGGCGUAGUCGAUGGGAAACAGGUUAAUAUUCCUGUACUUGGUGUUACUGCGAAGGGGGACGGAGAAGGCUAUGUUAGCCGGGCGACGGUUGUCCCGGUUUAAGCAUGUAGGCUGAUUGUCCAGGCAAAUCCGGAUAAUCAAGGCUGAGGUGUGAUGACGAGGCACUACGGUGCUGAAGUAACAAAUGCCCUGCUUCCAGGAAAAGCCUCUAAGCAUCAGGUAACAUCAAAUCGUACCCCAAACCGACACAGGUGGUCAGGUAGAGAAUACCAAGGCGCUUGAGAGAACUCGGGUGAAGGAACUAGGCAAAAUGGUGCCGUAACUUCGGGAGAAGGCACGCUGGUGUGUAGGUGAAGUCCCUGCGGAUGGAGCUGAGACCAGUCGAAGAUACCAGCUGGCUGCAACUGUUUAUUAAAAACACAGCACUGUGCAAACACGAAAGUGGACGUAUACGGUGUGACGCCUGCCCGGUGCCGGAAGGUUAAUUGAUGGGGUUAUCCGUAAGGAGAAGCUCUUGAUCGAAGCCCCGGUAAACGGCGGCCGUAACUAUAACGGUCCUAAGGUAGCGAAAUUCCUUGUCGGGUAAGUUCCGACCUGCACGAAUGGCGUAAUGAUGGCCAGGCUGUCUCCACCCGAGACUCAGUGAAAUUGAACUCGCUGUGAAGAUGCAGUGUACCCGCGGCAAGACGGAAAGACCCCGUGAACCUUUACUAUAGCUUGACACUGAACAUUGAGCCUUGAUGUGUAGGAUAGGUGGGAGGCUUUGAAGCGUGGACGCCAGUCUGCGUGGAGCCAACCUUGAAAUACCACCCUUUAAUGUUUGAUGUUCUAACGUUGGCCCCUGACCGGGGUUGCGGACAGUGUCUGGUGGGUAGUUUGACUGGGGCGGUCUCCUCCCAAAGCGUAACGGAGGAGCACGAAGGUUAGCUAAUCCUGGUCGGACAUCAGGAGGUUAGUGCAAUGGCAUAAGCUAGCUUGACUGCGAGCGUGACGGCGCGAGCAGGUGCGAAAGCAGGUCAUAGUGAUCCGGUGGUUCUGAAUGGAAGGGCCAUCGCUCAACGGAUAAAAGGUACUCCGGGGAUAACAGGCUGAUACCGCCCAAGAGUUCAUAUCGACGGCGGUGUUUGGCACCUCGAUGUCGGCUCAUCACAUCCUGGGGCUGAAGUAGGUCCCAAGGGUAUGGCUGUUCGCCAUUUAAAGUGGUACGCGAGCUGGGUUUAGAACGUCGUGAGACAGUUCGGUCCCUAUCUGCCGUGGGCGCUGGAGAAUUGAGGGGGGCUGCUCCUAGUACGAGAGGACCGGAGUGGACGCAUCACUGGUGUUCGGGUUGUCAUGCCAAUGGCACUGCCCGGUAGCUAAAUGCGGAAGAGAUAAGUGCUGAAAGCAUCUAAGCACGAAACUUGCCCCGAGAUGAGUUCUCCCUGAGACUUUAAGUCUCCUGAAGGAACGUUAAAGACGAUGACGUUGAUAGGCCGGGUGUGUAAGCGCAGCGAUGCGUUGAGCUAACCGGUACUAAUGAACCGUGAGGCUUAACCUUACAACGCCGAAG
rnacentral:rRNA from 1 species